AGUUUUGAAAAUCAAACAAAGUUCAAAAAGUAGACAUCACAGGUUGACAUCCAGCCCAAAGCAGAGGAAAAAUGUCUCAUGUUAAACGUUUUGGCACAGAACAGAAUUUAUGAGCGUUUUCGAUGUUUUGAUUUUCCCCCCCCACAAGUCACUGUUAUUCCUUACCCCCCCAGAGUUAGGUGUGGAGAGAUUAUGUUGGCUAGUUUCCAUGGUGACACCGAAGAAAAGUCAUUUUUUAAAGUAGGUUUCUACUGUGUUAUUUCACAUGCAUGAAAC
rnacentral:lncRNA from 1 species